rnacentral:lncRNA from 8 species
CAGAUGGAAACGCACGAGGUGGCUAAAAACAGACCUCCCUCCCAUCUUCCACCAGCUUGCUACCUAUGGCCCGGCUAGCUGUCUGAAUCUCACUGGACCCUUUGAUCACUCGGCUAAGCAUGCCUCUCCUUAAUGUCAAUAUGCCUUCUCCAUUGCUGUUCUGGUUAGUGUUUAUUGGCUUAUUUCACUGUAGAGCCUCUAGCCCUGCUCAUUAUACCUUAUCCAACCUCUCAGUUCCUCCACCCACACAUGCUAUGACAUCUUCUGGUUUCAAUGAUGUUUCUAGAGACAAUAUCUCUCUCAUAAUCACUAAAUGCCUAGGUUUACCUCCUCUGUACUCACAUCCCACCAUACCUUUGUCUGUACAUUAUACCUUGAAGCUAUUUUAUCGCCCCCAGAAACCUGCUCCUUUUUCUCUCUAUUCUGGACGUCACAGACGACCAAUUCUUAUAGCUUUUAGCCGUACCCUCAUACUUAUUCUUCUCUGCUCCUCUGGGGAUGUAGAGGUGAAUCCAGGCCCUGCAGUGCCUGGCUCCACUCCUACUCCCCAGGCGCUCUCUUUUGAUGACUUCUAUAACCGUAAUAACCUUGGUUUCAUGCAUGUUAACAUUAGAAGCCUCCUCCCUAAGUUUGUUUUAUUCACUGCUUUAGCACACUCUGCCAACCCGGAUGUCCUAGCUGUGUCUGAAUCUUGGCUUAGGAAGUCCACCAAAAACUCUGAAAUCUUCAUCCCUAACUACAACGUUUUCAGACAAGAUAGAACGACCAAAGGGGGCGGUGUUGCAAUCUACUGCAGAGAUAGCCUGCAGAGUUCUGUCCUGCUAUCCAGGUCUGUACCCAAACAAUUUGAACUUCUACUUUUAAAAAUCCACCUCUCCAAAAACAAGUCUCUCACCGUUGCCGCCUGCUAUAGACCCCCCUCGGCCCCUAGUUGUGCUCUGGACACCAUAUGUGAACUGAUUGCCCCCCAUCUAUCUUCAGAGCUCGUGCUACUAGGUGACCUAAACUGGGACAUGCUUAACACCCCAGCCAUCCUACAAUCCAAGCUUGAUGCCCUCAAU